GGGGCAAGGCACAUCCAGCCCAUCCCUUCCCUUCCUCCGCACGCUACAUCCUUCCCCUGAUCAAAACUUCUUCCCUUUCCCGUUCCCUUCCUCUCCCUUCUCCCCCCAUGGCAGCCAUGCUCCAAAUCCUCUCCUUGCGGUGCCUAAUCCUUUGGGGGAACUAGCAAAAUGGAGCGAGGAGGAUGAGAGGAGCGUGGAGAAUUGCAUCUUCGUGGUGGAUUUGCCCUUCCCCUUGCUUUCCCGUUGACCUAGGAUUUUGGGAAGACCAAGGUUGAUGGUUUGGGAGGAGGCGUAGGAGCGCUUUACUUAUCGGGAUGCUUGUUGGUAUGAGUUGUUAUAUGAUCUUGCUUUGUCAAACAGGUGGUAGUGCCUCGAAUCACGCCUAAAGUGGUCAUCUCUUUGUUGGAGGCAAGUAAACGUAGCGGUGGUUUGCUACGAGUUUUAACUUAUUUAUUCUACCUCCACCUUAAAAUUUAGAUCCACAACUACUAAAAUAUGAUAUUUGGUUGUGUUCUAGUUAGUUUGUUAUAUAUACUCUUUGGAUCGUUGUGAAUAUCUAUGUUCUAUAUCUAUGGCUUGAUGAUGCUAUUGGUGGUGGAAUGUAAUGAUGCUUGUUCUCUACUAAGGGAGUUGCUUAUGGAGAUAUAUGUGGUUUAUCAUUUCUCUCUAUGGCAUAUGCAUUGCAUCCAAUUCAUUGCAUUGACAUACGGAGUUAUGUCGUGAAUCUAUGGUUCCGACCGUACCGGUACAACAUUGUUUAUUGGGCGUAAUGAUGCAGCUUCAUACCUUGUUGGGUAUGAAGGCAGGAGACAUGGCAUUUGCAUUGCAUAUGCAUUAUGAUUUUGGAUUAAGGCAUAUUUAUUUGGGAAUGAUAUUGAGAAGCAGUGCUUCCUCAAGGCUUGGUGGUGAUUGGUACUUAUCUUGCAUAUGAAGUAACUAGCUGAUUUAUUAUAUCUCAUGAUUUAUCAUUGAUUACUUUUAAUUCAGGAAUUGCAUUUGCAUUAUGAUUUGGAAUAUGAAGUGUAUAUCAUUAUGGCUUGGGAGAUAAUUGUGAGAAGUGAUAUUUCUCCAAGGUUUGGUGGUGACUAAUCUUAUCCUAUAUGUGGUUUUGUUACCUUGAUUUGGUAUAUUUUAUUGGUCGUCACUGGUGUAGCUAUAAUUGAAGCUUAAGUCGAUGCUUAAUAAAAUUGUAGUUUAAAUAGCUUGUUAAAACAGUCUACUUGCUGAGAUUUCAUAUCUCACACCUUCUUUCUCUUUCCAGGUACUUGUGUUGCUUGCUUGAAGGGUGGGAAAGUAGCAUCACACACAACACAUUCAUGCAAUCAACUAGUUUCAUACUUGUGCUAUAUGUUAGAGUUGCUUUUUGUAUAAUCAUAGCUUAAUAUUGUGGAUCUUGUUGGGUUGGUCAUGUCAGACUUAUGGUGAUGCUUAUAUGUUUUUAGGGAUGUUUAUUUUUGCUAGUGUGGUUAUAUCUAUCCCUAUAUGUUGUUGCUUCUG